rnacentral:miRNA from 1 species
UGAAUCCAUGUGUGUGUGCGUGCAUGUGUGUGUGUGUAUGUGCGCAUGCACACACACACACACACACACACACACAAAAC